UUGUAAUACAGGAUAACUCCAGGUCUACAU
rnacentral:piRNA from 1 species